rnacentral:rRNA from 1 species
AGCAGCCGCGGUAAUUCCAGCUCCAAUAGCGUAUAUUAAAGUUGUUGCAGUUAAAAAGCUCGUAGUUGAAUUUCGGGAUUGACGUGAUGGUCAUGCCUUAAGGGGUAUGAACUGUUACAGUUGAUUUCUCACCUUCUGGAGAAACUUGAUGUCCUUUAUUGGGUGUCUUGCGGAUCCAGGACCUUUACCUUGAAAAAAUUAGAGUGUUUAAAGCAGGCAUUUUUGCUCGAAUACAUUAGCAUGGAAUAAUAGAAUAGGACGGCAUGGUUCUAUUUUGUUGGUUUCUAGGAUCACCGUAAUGAUUAAUAGGGAUAGUUGGGGGCAUUAGUAUUCAAUUGUCAGAGGUGAAAUUCUUGGAUUUAUUGAAGACUAACUACUGCGAAAGCAUUUGCCUAAGGAUGUUUUCAUUAAUCAAGAACGAAAGUUAGGGGAUCGAAGACGAUCAAAUACCGUCGUAGUCUUAAACCAUAAACUAUGCCGACUAGGAAUCAGGCGAUGUUAAUUUUUAAUGACUCGUUUG